GAUGAACGCUGGCGGCGUGCUUAACACAUGCAAGUCGAACGGAAAGGCCCAAGCUUGCUUGGGUACUCGAGUGGCGAACGGGUGAGUAACACGUGGGUGAUCUGCCCUGCACUUCGGGAUAAGCCUGGGAAACUGGGUCUAAUACCGGAUAGGACCACAUUUUGGAUGGUGUGGUGGAAAGUUUUUCGGUGUGGGAUGAGCUCGCGGCCUAUCAGCUUGUUGGUGGGGUAAUGGCCUACCAAGGCGUCGACGGGUAGCCGGCCUGAGAGGGUGUACGGCCACAUUGGGACUGAGAUACGGCCCAGACUCCUACGGGAGGCAGCAGUGGGGAAUAUUGCACAAUGGGCGCAAGCCUGAUGCAGCGACGCCGCGUGGGGGAUGACGGCCUUCGGGUUGUAAACUCCUUUCGCUAGGGACGAAGCGUUAUGGGACGGUACCUGGAGAAGAAACACCGGCUAACUACGU
rnacentral:rRNA from 1 species